GUGCCGAGGAGGCCACUACCCUCGUAAAUCCAGUGGCAUUGUUGGUAGCGAAUAACUGCCGACGACAACUACGCACUCGCUGCCUAGCUGAAACUAGCGUAGCGACGCCCGUCCUCGACGCCUUCUAGAGGGUCGCGGGCGCCAAAAGAAGGCUGGCCUCCGGAACGCGGCUCCGUCGUCGCCGGGGGUGAGAUCAUUCGGAGCUGGGCCCGGGAACUCCCGUCUCCGAGACGACCCGGGCCGAGAAACGGUCGGAGACUACACACGUAGACGCGCCCGUUGGACGCCGUCCGGACGCGGGUUCGAUUCCCGCCGCCUCCACCA
rnacentral:tmRNA from 1 species